AUGAGACUUGCUUUGUUACGAGAAGCUGGAGCACCAUGGGGUUUGAGUACCGAAAGCAGCAUGGUCCAAGCAGCUUCCCGUGGUCGAGCCAGGCUGGGGCGAUGCAGCCACCCAGCACCUGGACCAUGCAGAGCCACCCAGCACCUCGGACCAUGCAGAGCCAUCCAGCACCUGGACCAUGCAGAGCCAUCCAGCACCUCGGACCAUGCAGAGCCAUCCAGCACCUGGACCAUGCAGAGCCAUCCAGCACCUCGGACCAUGCAGAGCCAUCCAGCACCUGGACCAUGCAGAGCCAUCCAGCACCUCGGACCAUGCAGAGCCAUCCAGCACCUGGACCAUGCAGAGCCAUCCAGCACCUCGGACCAUGCAGAGCCAUCCAGCACCUGGACCAUGCAGAGCCAUCCAGCACCUCGGACCAUGCAGAGCCAUCCAGCACCUGGACCAUGCAGAGCCAUCCAGCACCUCGGACCAUGCAGAGCCAUCCAGCACCUGGACCAUGCAGAGCCAUCCAGCACCUCGGACCAUGCAGAGCCAUCCAGCACCUGGACCAUGCAGAGCCAUCCAGCACCUCGGACCAUGCAGAGCCAUCCAGCACCUGGACCAUGCAGAGCCAUCCAGCACCUCGGACCAUGCAGAGCCAUCCAGCACCUGGACCAUGCAGAGCCAUCCAGCACCUCGGACCAUGCAGAGCCAUCCAGCACCUGGACCAUGCAGAGCCAUCCAGCACCUCGGACCAUGCAGAGCCAUCCAGCACCUGGACCAUGCAGAGCCAUCCAGCACCUCGGACCAUGCAGAGCCAUCCAGCACCUGGACCAUGCAGAGCCAUCCAGCACCUCGGACCAUGCAGAGCCAUCCAGCACCUGGACCAUGCAGAGCCAUCCAGCACCUCGGACCAUGCAGAGCCAUCCAGCACCUGGACCAUGCAGAGCCAUCCAGCACCUCGGACCAUGCAGAGCCAUCCAGCACCUGGACCAUGCAGAGCCAUCCAGCACCUCGGACCAUGCAGAGCCAUCCAGCACCUGGACCAUGCAGAGCCAUCCAGCACCUCGGACCAUGCAGAGCCAUCCAGCACCUGGACCAUGCAGAGCCAUCCAGCACCUCGGACCAUGCAGAGCCAUCCAGCACCUGGACCAUGCAGAGCCAUCCAGCACCUCGGACCAUGCAGAGCCAUCCAGCACCUUGGACCAUGCAGAGCCACCCAGCACCUCGGACCAUGCAGAGCCAUCCAGCACCUGGACCAUGCAGAGCCACCCAGCACCCUGGACCAUGCAGAGCCAUCCAGCAUCCCGGACCAUGCAGAGCCAUCGAGCAUCCCGGACCAUGCAGAGCCACCCAGCACCUCGGAUCACGCAGAGCCAUCGAGCACCUCGGAUCACGCAGAGCCACCCAGCACCUCGGACCAUGCCGAGCCAUCGAGCAUCCCGGACCGUGCAGAGCGGGCCCGGGCAGCGGGGGCGGGGGGGGGGGGGGGGGGGGGGGGGGGGGGGGGGGGGGGGGGGGGGGGGGGGGGGGGGGGGGGGGGGGGGGGGGGGGGGGGGGGGGGGGGGG
ensembl:lncRNA